rnacentral:rRNA from 1 species
UACGUAGGGUCCGAGCGUUGUCCGGAAUUACUGGGCGUAAAGAGCUCGUAGGUGGUUUGUCGCGUCGAUCGUGAAAACUUGGGGCUUAACCCUGAGCUUGCGGUCGAUACGGGCAUGACUGGAGUUCGGCAGGGGAGACUGGAAUUCCUGGUGUAGCGGUGAAAUGCGCAGAUAUCAGGAGGAACACCGGUGGCGAAGGCGGGUCUCUGGGCCGAUACUGACGCUGAGGAGCGAAAGCGUGGGUAGCAAACAGG